rnacentral:rRNA from 1 species
CCUACGGGUGGCAGCAGUGAGGAAUCUUGGUCAAUGGACGAGAGUCUGAACCAGCCAAGUAGCGUGAAGGAUGACUGCCCUAGGGGUUGUACACUUCUUUUAUAUGGGACUAAAAUGUUCCACGUGUGGGAUUUUGUAUGUACCAUAUGAAUAAGGAUCGGCUAACUCCGUGCCAGCAGCCGCGGUAAGACGGAGGAUCCGAGCGUUAACCGUAUGUAUUGGGUUUAAAGGGAACGUAGGUGGAUUGUUAAGUCAGUUGUGAAAGGGUGCGGCUCAACCGUAAUAUUGCAGUUGAAACUGGCAGUCUUGAGUACAGUAGAGGUGGGCGGAAUUCGUUGUGUAGCGGUGAAAUGCUUAGAUAUCACGAAGAACGCCAGUUGCGAAGGCGGCUCACUGGACUGUAACUGACGCUGAGGCUCGAAAGUGUGGGUAGCAAACAGGAUUAGAUACCCGUGUAGUC